CCCAAAGGAAAUAGGAAACUAUUUUGUUUUACCUCUCUUCUCUAUGCCUUUUUUAGGUUGAAGAACUCUACCAACCCCUGGGAAAUUUGGCAAUUCCUGAACUGACUAUGAAGUAUUGUCUUUGCCCAUUAGAAUCCUCCUGCUGUCUCUAGCCAUACCCUGCAACGUCACUGCCUCUCUUUAUCAUCCUGGCUUCUUCAUGAAUGUAACAAAUCGAAUGAAAGAGGAGAAGGAAAGAGGAGUUUAUUAAUUUGCUAACAGAUGAGGAGACUACCAGACUCCCAUCUUGAAGUACCAACGUCCUGCUUUUGAGCAGAAGUACAGAGCUUUUAAAGGUUCUGGUUCAUCCUAUCUUUGGCUAAGACAAUCAUGUGACUUCCGCCUGGAUUAUUCCCUUGAGCCAUCUCCUGUGGCACAAAGAACAAAGGACACUCCAGCCCCUCUUGACCACGGGCCUGCAGCAGAAAUGUUGGAAAAGCAGAGAUGAUGUCCCAAAGCUCGUGACUGAUUUUCUGGCAAAGAAAUUUGACCUGGACCAGUUGAUAACCCACGUGUUACCUUUUAAAGACAUCAACAAAGGAUUCGAACUGCUCUAUUCAGGGCAAAGCAUUCGUACUGUGCUGACGUUCUGAGAAGCUCAGGGCAGGG